CGUUACUAGUUUUAAAUCGUUUCCACCUUGUCGGAUCGCCGCGAGUCGAGUUUCCAAGUCGGAUUACGAUCUGACUUACGUCAUCCGUUGAACUUUCGACUUUGUCGGUAGGUACUUUGAAAAGAGAGAGAAGAGAGAGAGAGAGAGAGAGAGAGAAGAGGAAUAGAGGAGAAGUAAGAAAAAACAAAACAAAAAAGAAAGAAAAAGAAAAAAGAAAAAAAAAUUAAUGUCCUUUCCUAUGAAGUUUGAAACGACUUUGAGAAAGUAUGUUCCAUGUCUAUCGUUUCGUACGAAACGUUUAAAUGUCGCGUUACAAAACGCAGAAAAUGUCGACCAAACCACCUCCUCUCCUCUUUACCCAACAAUCGUAUAUUUUCCACGACUCAUCGAACAAGAAAGUUAGUUCAUAGGGAGAAUACGUUAUGAAAAGAGUGGAAGAUCGUCGAAUCCUUCCUUCUUCGAAAAUUGAUAAGCUCGGCGCGUUUGCUCGUCGACGUUCCUUAGUCCGAUCACGUAUCGACCUACAUCACUUGACAAACCUUGGACUCGACACGAAGUCUACAUGGUCGGACAAAGUGAUUUUUAUGGUAGAAUUGACUUACACCAAGGAAACGCAAGGAGAAAGAGAGAUUAUCUACGAACCGUUCGAGUUGCUUCUGUGCAAGAAAAAAAGAAAAGAAAAGGAAGAAGAAAAAGAAGAAAAGAAAAGUAAAGAAAAAAAUAGAGGGGAAAAAAAAAGAAAAAGAAAAGAAAAGAACAAUGAAUUAAUCUCUCUCAAGAUGUACGAAUUAAAUUUGAUAUUUCUUUGUCGUUGUUGUCAGUAAUGAAUAUCAGAAAUAACUAAGAUAAUGUUAUAUAUUUGUUUAUAAAUA